rnacentral:rRNA from 1 species
GAUGAACGCUGGCGGCGUGCCUAAUACAUGCAAGUCGAGCGAACGGACGAGAAGCUUGCUUCUCUGAUGUUAGCGGCGGACGGGUGAGUAACACGUGGAUAACCUACCUAUAAGACUGGGAUAACUUCGGGAAACCGGAGCUAAUACCGGAUGAUAUUUUGAACCGCAUGGUUCAAAAGUGAAAGACGGUCUUGCUGUCACUUAUAGAUGGAUCCGCGCUGCAUUAGCUAGUUGGUAAGGUGACGGCUUACCAAGGCAACGAUGCAUAGCCGACCUGAGAGGGUGAUCGGCCACACUGGAACUGAGACACGGUCCAGACUCCUACGGGAGGCAGCAGUAGGGAAUCUUCCGCAAUGGGCGAAAGCCUGACGGAGCAACGCCGCGUGAGUGAUGAAGGUCUUCGGAUCGUAAAACUCUGUUAUUAGGGAAGAACAUAUGUGUAAGUAACUGUGCACAUCUUGACGGUUCCUAAUCAGAAAGCCACGGCUAACUACGUG